GAAACUUCAUGAAGGCAGAGAUUUUUGACUAUUUUAUUUACUGAUAUAACCUCUAUACCUAUAAAAGUGCCUGAGAUUUGCAUUUCUUCAAGCAAAAAGAGUGUUGCAAGAGAGACUUGGUGGCUUGGUAGGAAAAGCUGCAUGUAAGCUAAUGGCUCAAAUGCAGUAUUCCUGACCUCAACUGAGGAUGCUGCAUUCUUUGCCCUGUUUCUUCUCUCAAGUGAUGCCAGCCCUUAGAAGAAAGAACCCAACAUGACAUAAGAGUCUUCUAAGCUGAGAGUAGCAAAUGGCUGUGGAAAUAACCCCACUUGAUUCCUCAUGAUCCUUUGUGCUGUCUACUGCAGGCUGUCACCUCAAUUUCUAUUUCUUCCAUAACUGAGGUAAAGAAGAGUUAAGAAUUUUUGUGUGUAGCUAUUGACAGUCACUUCACAGAUUAAAGGAUGUCCUUAAUAUAAAGUAAAGCUAAAUAUCAGAGACGACAAAAGGUCCAUUUAUUGAAGUUGAAGGUAUGCUCUAGUAACAAGUGGUAGAAAGUACAGCAAGCUGAAACUCAAUAGAUGACUUCUGAUAGUGAUACCACCAUUGGAGUUGGGUAAUCUUCAAUAAACUGGAGUGCUUUUUUUGUCCUCCAGAAUCCUUGCCGUAUAUGGAGAUGGACAAGAGAUAAUU